UCCUACGGGAGGCAGCAGUGGGGAAUUUUGGACAAUGGGGGCAAGCCUGAUCCAGCCAUUCCGCGUGAGUGAAGAAGGCCUUCGGGUUGUAAAGCUCUUUCGCAAGGGAAGAAACGAUACCGACGAAUAAUCGGUGUUAAUGACGGUACCUCUAUAAGAAGCACCGGCUAACUACGUGCCAGCAGCCGCGGUAAUACGUAGGGUGCGAGCGUUAUUAUCAGUAAUUAUUGGUAAAGCGUGCGCAGGCGGUUUUGUAAGUCAGAUGUGAAAUCCCCGGGCUCAACCUGGGAACUGCGUUUGAAACUACAAGGCUAGAGUAUGGUAGAGGGGGGUAGAAUUCCACGUGUAGCAGUGAAAUGCGUAGAGAUGUGGAGGAAUACCAAUGGCGAAGGCRGCCCCCUGGACUAAUACUGACGCUCAUGCACGAAAGCGUGGGGAGCAAACACGAUUAGAUACCCUGGUAGUCCACGCCCUAAACGAUGUCUACUAGUGUGGGAGAGUAAAACUCUUAGUAACGCAGCUAAC
rnacentral:rRNA from 1 species